rnacentral:lncRNA from 1 species
AAAAAAUCAGUCACUUGAUAAAGGACACAACCGGAUGUGAUUCUUGUCACUUCUAUUUUAAACAUGCAUACUGGGAAAAACAGAAACACAAGAGUGCUAUGGGUACACGCGACGUGUGAGAAGAAAGGAACCCCCUGGAGACACGGACGCGGUGUGCGGUGACAGCCAGGCCUCACUGACAACAGGGCAGCGAAUCGCAGCCGGGACGCCUCUGAGGCGGAAGCAGUCUUGGGAUUUCCUGUCACGCUCUCGAUGCUUCUGCCCACUCUGGUUUGUCACGGGGAUGCUUCAUUUUGGACAGUAUAAAACCGGUGAUUAAUGCAUAUCUUGCUCUUCAGCAAAAUACUAUUCAAGUAGUUUUAACUUAAAUAUUUUAAAAGUAAUCUUUACAUUAUUGAAGAUUGUUAAAAAAUACAGAAUCUGACAACUUUUCACUCAAUCUGAUGCUCUGAAACUCUUCACUUCUGUUUUAUCAUAAUUUAGAAGGCAAUCCCUGGCCUCUAUAAAACUCUCUGCAGGAUUAGCUUCAAGAUCCAUCUUUCCCCCACUGGUUCGAGUUUAAAAGGCUUUCAGAACCUUUUGCCACUGCAUUAUAAAGAGAACAUGAACCCCUUCCCAUUACUUCCUUUAGCUACACAUGCUAUGACUGAGAGUGUGCUGGAAGCUAAACAAGCCCCAGCUGAUUUCUGCCACAUAAAAGGGCGCCGUGAAGAAUUUCCCUGUUGAAACCUUAAUGAAGACGAUGAUCCCAAGUGAAGCUUUAUGAAGAGACGGCACAGCAGAGUGAAAUGUUUGGCAAUCAACAGUUAAUUAGAAUUACAUCCUUGAUCAGGGAUGAUGCUAUCUCCGCGAACUCAGUCGUUAGAAAAGUUGGUUUCUGCUGUGACGAGGCUCACAGUGGCCACUCGAGGAAGUCCAGCCUCGUCAGCCUCCGGUCCCGGGCCCCAGGCCCCUCCAGGCCCUCAGUAGAUAUCUGGGCAGUCGGAGAAAUUCCGCUCAAAGUAAUCCCCUGCAUACAACCAGUCGGGGGUCCCAGUGUAGGGGUUAUUGCCUGGGUAGAACCACCUGCCGGAUACAAGGGAGGGGGGUCAGAAGAUGCUCAGCCCAAAAGGAAAACGCAGCCCUGUUCUGGGUGCAGGAGUGUGUUCCCCCAACUCAGCACCAUCACGGUAACGUGGGUUUUAAAAUGCAGCCCAGCGUAACAACUUCAACGGAGAAUUAUUGAUCACGUGGUCAUGUGAAUGCUGGAACCUAAAGAUAUCCAGCCACCCGUGUCAAUUUCACUUCCCAACAAAAUCUUGAGGGUUUAACUCAACACAA